rnacentral:rRNA from 2 species
UCGAACGAACUCUGGUAUUGAUUGGUGCUUGCAUCAUGAUUUACAUUUGAGUGAGUGGCGAACUGGUGAGUAACACGUGGGAAACCUGCCCAGAAGCGGGGGAUAACACCUGGAAACAGAUGCUAAUACCGCAUAACAACUUGGACCGCAUGGUCCGAGUUUGAAAGAUGGCUUCGGCUAUCACUUUUGGAUGGUCCCGCGGCGUAUUAGCUAGAUGGUGGGGUAACGGCUCACCAUGGCAAUGAUACGUAGCCGACCUGAGAGGGUAAUCGGCCACAUUGGGACUGAGACACGGCCCAAACUCCUACGGGAGGCAGCAGUAGGGAAUCUUCCACAAUGGACGAAAGUCUGAUGGAGCAACGCCGCGUGAGUGAAGAAGGGUUUCGGCUCGUAAAACUCUGUUGUUAAAGAAGAACAUAUCUGAGAGUAACUGUUCAGGUAUUGACGGUAUUUAACCAGAAAGCCACGGCUAACUACGUGCCAGCAGCCGCGGUAAUACGUAGGUGGCAAGCGUUGUCCGGAUUUAUUGGGCGUAAAGCGAGCGCAGGCGGUUUUUUAAGUCUGAUGUGAAAGCCUUCGGCUCAACCGAAGAAGUGCAUCGGAAACUGGGAAACUUGAGUGCAGAAGAGGACAGUGGAACUCCAUGUGUAGCGGUGAAAUGCGUAGAUAUAUGGAAGAACACCAGUGGCGAAGGCGGCUGUCUGGUCUGUAACUGACGCUGAGGCUCGAAAGUAUGGGUAGCAAACAGGAUUAGAUACCCUGGUAGUCCAUACCGUAAACGAUGAAUGCUAAGUGUUGGAGGGUUUCCGCCCUUCAGUGCUGCAGCUAACGCAUUAAGCAUUCCGCCUGGGGAGUACGGCCGCAAGGCUGAAACUCAAAGGAAUUGACGGGGGCCCGCACAAGCGGUGGAGCAUGUGGUUUAAUUCGAAGCUACGCGAAGAACCUUACCAGGUCUUGACAUACUAUGCAAAUCUAAGAGAUUAGACGUUCCCUUCGGGGACAUGGAUACAGGUGGUGCAUGGUUGUCGUCAGCUCGUGUCGUGAGAUGUUGGGUUAAGUCCCGCAACGAGCGCAACCCUUAUUAUCAGUUGCCAGCAUUAAGUUGGGCACUCUGGUGAGACUGCCGGUGACAAACCGGAGGAAGGUGGGGAUGACGUCAAAUCAUCAUGCCCCUUAUGACCUGGGCUACACACGUGCUACAAUGGAUGGUACAACGAGUUGCGAACUCGCGAGAGUAAGCUAAUCUCUUAAAGCCAUUCUCAGUUCGGAUUGUAGGCUGCAACUCGCCUACAUGAAGUCGGAAUCGCUAAUAAUC